rnacentral:snRNA from 1 species
GGAUGUGAGGGCGAUCUGGCUGCGACAUCUGUCACCCCAUUGAUCGCCAGGGUUGAUUCGGCUGAUCUGGCUGGCUAGGCGGGUGUCCCCUUCCUCCCUCACCGCUCCAUGUGCGUCCCUCCCGAAGCUGCGCGCUCGGUCGAAGAGGACGACCAUCCCCGAUAGAGGAGGACCGUUCUUCGGUCAAGGGUAUACGAGUAGCUGCGCUCCCCUGCUAGAACCUCCAAACAAGCUCUCAAGAAACUAUUGCCAAAUUCAGGUUAUGAGACUUACACCUAUUUAAGACUUUGAUCCAUAGUUGCAUUAAUUUUUUUGCAUGUUGU